AUGCUGCUGCGCUGCCCUCGCGGGUCCCUGCUCCUUGCCGUGCGGGGUUCCCGUGGGGGCUCCGCUGUCCCCGGGGCCAGCCUGCCAGCUCUAAUUGGGCCCAGGAGCCCGGCCUCGCUCGGGGGUGGGGGGGGCAGUGCCCACCUGGCGGCCUCCCUGCCCCCCCACGAGGCCGCCUCCUGUCACCCUGGAGAGGGCCCAGGCCCGCGUCCUUGGGAGGGGGCCCCUCUGUGGGGGGAGGGCCCGGGCCUGCGUCCUUGGGAGGGGGCCCCUCUCUCUGGAAUCUCUCAGAUCGUGGGCACCCCCACAGCCCCCUCCCGGGAGCGGGCGGGAAGGAGCGCUGUUUCCUCCCCGCUCUUCCUUCUGGAAGGUUCUGGCCUUCCCUCGCUCACUGCAGCAGCACAAUCAUUGUGGGAGGGGGGUCUCCACACAGCGAAGCCCCCCGGCCUGCUGCCUUCAGGGCUUCCGGGGGGGGGGGGGGGUCUGCAGCGCGUUUCUUUCUACCUCAGGUCUGACUCGAUGCCAAACCCCCGCCCGGGCCCAGGGCGUCCGUGCGCACCGCCCUGCCCGGGCCCCUCCGCCUGGAGCCGUGCGCCCGCGGGGCCCCGUCGGGGGUGUCGCGUCCCGGCUGGAGCUCAGGGUGUCCUGCCGAGCGGCGAUGACUGUAGGGGCGGCCUCGGUGCCCCCCGCAGCCCCUGCGGCUCCGGCCCCGGGCGUAGGGAAGGGGUGGCUUCCAGGGGCCCAUCAGGACCCCCUCCUGCAAACCGGGGGACGGGGUCGGGGCGGUGGCUUGUGCGCUGUUCAUUCCCGGGCAGGUGGCGCUUUGCAGCACGGCGAGGGCGGGGACCCCAAACUCAGGGUGAAGAGGAGCCCCGGGGGCUCCCCUGCUGGCGACCUUGCUUCCAGAAUCUUCCGCGUGACCCCCUGAGCUGGGGGCUGGGCUGUCUGGGGCCGGGCGGCGGGUUAGUUUCCAUAGUUCUGCAUUUCUACACCACUUUCCCGCUUUUUUCACUUUUGCCCACUUUGUCCUCCCCCCUCCACCCCCCUUAA
rnacentral:lncRNA from 1 species